rnacentral:rRNA from 1 species
UACAGAGGAGCCAAGCGUUGUCCGGAUUGACUGGGCGUAAAGCGCACGCAGGCGGACGCGCGCGUGGGGUGUGAAAUCUGGCCGCUUAACGGCCAGGCGCCAUCCCAUACGGCGCGUCUGGAGCAAUGCAGAGGUCGGUGGAAUUGCCGGUGUAGUGGUGAAAUGCGUAGAGAUCGGCAGGAACACCCAGGGGGAAACCAGCCGACUGGGCAUUUGCUGACGCUGAGGUGCGAGAGCGUGGGGAGCGAACAGGAUUAGAAACCCGUGG